GGCCCCGCCCACGUCAUGGCGCCCGAGGAGAACGCUGGGACCUAACUCUUGCUGCAGAGUUUGCAGCGCCGCUUUCUGGCGGCGCGCGCGCUGCGCUCCUUCCCCUGGCAGACUGUGAAGCAUCCUGUGUGUGUGACGCACCCGCCGUCAGUCAAGUAUGCCCGGUGCUUUCUCUCAGAACUCAUCAAAAAGACGUGCUGUAUUGCCCAGAAGCCAUCGUGUUGCUGGUCGGGGUCCUGCUGAGGCUGGCUGCCUGCCGGGAGCACCAGCGGGCUCCUGAGGUCUAUGUGGCCUUUACUGUCCGCAACCCAGAGACAUGCCAGCUGUUCACCACCGAGCUAGGCCAGGCCAGGAUCAGAUGGGAAGUGGAACCUCGUCAUGACCAGAAACUGUUUCCCUAUGAAGAGCACUUGGAGAUGGCAAUGCUGAACCUCACACUGUAGGACUCACACACGACUCCAAUGGGAUUGUGAGAAUCAAGUCACUCUCAAGGGAAGAGGUUUCAUAUGGGAAAGCUGAUAAAACUUUCACUGGACUGGAAUGUUUGGAGAAUGUUAAUUUCCAAAUCAGGAACUACAAACUGCCCUCUAAUAAGACAUCGGCUAUCUAAGCGUGUGGGUGCUCCCUUUCUGCCAGCAGUUCUGGUUCUUAAGGAAAUCGCCAUCACUCAGACAUGAAAACUCUGGCUCCAAAAAUAGCAUUUUCUUUGUGCAAAUAAAAACGUGUGUAUCAAGUAUGUGGACACACUCGGUUCCUCACAAAGCCAAGCCUGCUGCAGCUGCCACAUCCCUGGACACACUUGGUUCCUCACAAAGCCAAGACUGCUGCAGCUGCCACAUCCGCGGACACACUCAGUUCUUCACAAAGCCAAGCCCGCUGCAGCUGCCACAUCCCUGGGCUUACGAUGCAGCAGGUGCUUUUUUCAAGACAGGAAUCAAAAUGUUAGGAACACGGCAGAAAGGUGACACCUGGAGACCAAACGCAGGAUAAGGAGUACUGCAGAGGUCACAGGGAAGUCACAGAACAGUAAUACGCUAGCAGGGGCAUGGGGCAUGAAGAACAGAAGAAGAGAGGAAGUGUUUCCGAGCCUCCGGAAAAGAAAUCAGAGCCAAGCACAGCUUCCCGGGUCACAGAACCAAUUCAUUCACCAGGCGGCACCACUGCCGUCAUUUCAGCUUCUGGCCACUGGGAGGCGCUGCUCAAAAGGGUUUGCCCUGAGACUCCGAGAAGAAGCUGCGGGAAGGACAGCAGGGGUCCCGGGGUUUUAGCCUCUGGCCCAGGAGUUGUAUGUCCAUAACCAAAGGGAGCACAGUCUGCACCCAGCUCUCAUCCCAUCGGAGCUGCUGCGACUCCCGCAGGUUCUUCCAAAACUGGUUUAGCUUGCCUGCAGGAUCAGGAAAGUUUGAGAAAAGCAUCUGCAAAAAAAUAAAGAGCAGAGCUUACCUCAUUGCCUGUCCCCACCCCAUCCCAGGUCACCACCUGGCUGACCCCAGGUCCCCGACCCAACAACAACCCCUCCCAAGUUCCUAACUCUCUCACUUGGACUCGAGACUCUUCACGCCCCAGCAGCGCUCCGCCUCCAACUUGACAUCAUGCUUUCUGGAAACUUCCCCGUAUGUCCCACUUUCCCACACUUGGUGCCCUGGAGCACCUCCCGGCCUCUAACGUGCUGUAUGUUCCCCUGCGAGCACCCUCCUCUUGGCCUCUGGCCAAGUCCCACCCAUCUGUGGGUAACAAGGGGGUGUCGGUGUUCUUUUCAGCCUUGCUAAACUCUCUGAAUCAAGGAUCACAAACUACAGCCUGCAGGCCAAAUCCAGCCCACAGCCUGUGUUUGUAAAUAAAGUUUUAUUGGAACAAA
ensembl:lncRNA FAM86JP family with sequence similarity 86 member J, pseudogene